CCCUUAGAUGUCCUGGGCCGCACGCGCGCUACACUGAGUGUCUGAGAUACGAGUCUGCCUGGUCCGGCAAGGUCUAGGUAAUCGCUAAAAGACACAUCAUGCUUGGGAUAGAUUAUUGCAAAUAUUAAUCUUGAACGAGGAAUUCCUAGUAAGCGCAAGUCAACAGCUUGCGUUUAUUACGUCCCUGCCCUUUGUACACACCGCCCGUCGCUACUACUGAUUGGAUGUUUAAGCGAGGUUCUCGUACUGCUAGCGACUUAGCUUCGGUGAGGUCGCAGUGUGGGAAGUGAACCUAGCUUUGGUGUCUAGAGGAAGUAAAAGUCGUAACA
rnacentral:rRNA from 1 species